AGUAACACUUUAGCCAUGCUGAAGAUAGCUCUUGUUCUUGGAUGCCUCCUGAGCCUCAUUGUGGCCGAACCUAUGGAGCACCAGCGUUUUGCUCGCUCUGAUUCAUCUUUUUCUGACUCAUAUCAGAACACCACGACUACAAACACAGCAGCAGGUGCAACAACUAGCAGACCUGAACUAAUUCAUUGUUCAACUACUUCAAUUGCUUAACCAAUAAUGAUCAGAAUCAAGACUUGCUGUUAACCAGAAUACUUCUUCACACUCAUUCACUGGAUAUAUAUGAUUUAGAACUGCCUAUAAACUUAAAAAAUAAACCCUCU